CUAACGCUUGAAUACAUUAGCAUGGAAUAAUGAAUAGGACGUUCGAUCUUAUUUUGUUUGGUUUUCUUAAGAUUGACGUAAUGAUUAAUAGGGAUAUUGGGGGCAUUAGUAUUCAAUUGUCAGAGGUGAAAUUCUUUGGAUUUAUUUGAAGACUAACUACUGCGAAAAGCAUUUUGCCAAGGAUGUUUUCAUUAAUCAAGAACGAAAGUUAGGGGAUCGAAGACGAUCAGAUACCGUCGUAGUCUUAACCAUAAACUAUGCCGACUAGGGAUCGGAUGAUGUUAAUUUUUUAAUGACUCAUUCGGCGCCUUACG
rnacentral:rRNA from 1 species